AAAAAUGGCCGAUACCUGCCGAUAUCUCUUUGCAAUAACUACCUGUAAUAAACGGAGUUCAGUAUUUUCUUUACGUCCAUUUGUUUUUUCAAAUAGUAUUUGUGGUUCAAAUCAUCCGGGGUAAACAACACUAAACACACAACUGGCUUUUAAUAGGACGCAAUAAAAAUGAAGAAUAUUUUGGAUGUAAUGUCAGUACAAAAACGCGCUGAAGCAACUAAAAUGCAGAAACAAAAACCAACAGAUUAUCGAAAAGUUGAAAAGCCUGGUGUUGUGCCACGUUUCCUAUUUGAGUGCGCCAUCAAACUGCAGAUAAAACCACUGACCUCAGCAAGCGCCGCUAUAAUUUUUCACCGCUUUUUCAAUGAAGUUUCCAGUUCUGAUUAUGAUGAAUAUCUUAUUGCAGCGUCUGCAUUAUACCUAGCCGGCAAGAUUAAAGACGAUCCGGUCAAAAUACGCGAUGUUAUCAACGUCGCGCAUAGUACGCUGAAUCGGGGAUCUCAACCGUUAGAAUUGGGGGAUGAAUACUGGUCGAUACGCGAUGCUCUUGUGCAAGCUGAAUUACUAAUUGCCCGUACUUUGAAAUUCGAUCUAAAUUUCGAGCAUCCACACAAGUACUUAUUAUACUACAUAAAAACACUGCAAUCUUGGCUGGGCCCAACUAUCUGGUCCUCAGUACCAAUUGCAAAGUCAGCAGCAUCCUUCCUUCAAGAUUUUCAUCACAGUGCAAAAAUCCUAAAUCAAAAGCCAUCUCAUGUGGCAAUAUGUUGUUUGUCUUUGGCAUUGCAGUCAUAUGGCGUGCAGGUUCCACUAGCUGACGAAUCGGAUGAAGCUUCUAUGUGGUACACUCCGUUUGUUAACGAUCUGACCAAAGAAAAGCACUGGGAAAUUAUUGAAGAUAUCAUAGAAACUUACAAACAGGAGAGUGAAAUUAAUGCGGCUUGAUGCGAUCAUUAUAUUGGGUUUGUCCCUGAAUUCCAAAAUGUAAAAAUACAAACAAUUAGCAGGUAGUCGUUUUCAUUUCUGAACUAUAACAGAUGAAACUGCCAAUAUUCGCAACCAUGGCUUAAUCACACUUUGGAAUUUAGGGUAUCUCUGACAAACGUAGAUACCUACAUACAUUUAAGUAUAUGUGAAUUUGUGAUAAGGAAAUUCUUCAAGCUGUAUAAUAGGCUUUCGUGUAUUUUUUUCCUCUUUCUUAGUUUAUAUCCACUUAAACUGAAUUCCAUAAAAAUCAAAGCAUGCAAGCAUACAAAAUCCUUACUAAGCUAUGGAUCACGCUAAAUACGCAUAAGUUUGAUUGAAUAAAUUUUGUAUUUUUUUUUU
rnacentral:misc_RNA from 1 species